GAACUGUGUUGUUGCAUAUGUCCAGAAAGGGUUUAAUGUUGGGAAUUUGAUUAGACUAAUAGGAAAGUGUUGAAGACAGCUUCAGUUAUAAUAGAAAAUAAAUGGUCUAGACCAAAAUGUAAAGAGAAGAACAAGUACUGAAAUUUCAGUCAGAUAGGUUAUAGAAUCCUGAUUAGAGUUUCAUGAAGGAAUGCCCGGUGCUUCCUCUCUAACUGGCGAAUGGGAUGUAAUUACAAUAGCAAGUAUGGUUCUUUAAGUUGCAAGUGUCAAUUUAAAACUGGUUAAGGCAACGAUUUUGUUUUUAACUUUUUUUCUUUUUUAUUUUAUAUGAGGAUUAUAGAUUAUGUUUUUUUUGCAAAAAUGGAACUCUUGAAACUAAAAUGAUUUUGGAAUAUCAAGAAAAGGGGGUGCAAUACCUGUGCCAUUUGACACUGAUGCCUUAAUUACUGUUGGAAUUGUUUGUUCUGUAGGGGUAUGCCACUCGACCAUGCUCAAUACGUCUGAUAUCUUCUUUGAGGAUCUCAUAGUGCCUUUUAACAUCCUCUACUGAUUUUCCCACCUCGUUGGCAAUAUUCUGCCACCUAUCUGGGGUUUCUCUAUCAAAUUUAGCCAGGGCACUUUCAAAUAGUUUGUUUUGCCUUGGGGUCCAAGAUGAUGCCAUCUGAAUGUUUGAAGAUGAAGUUUCAACUUAAGGGCAGUCUUAAGCAAUGGUAAUAUUAACUGGCUAUAAUAAAGACUUUAGGAAAAUGGAAUUGGCUUAGUGAGUUUCACAAACUUGAAAGAGAAAAGAAAUGAUUGCUUCAGUCAAGCAAUGGUAUGGGAAAACAAUAACCCAGCUAGUCCCUUAUAAGUAGAAGGAAAAGUGUAGGAGGGGUUACUGGUUAGGCCUGUUGGAUGAGUAUAUCUUUGAAAAGGAUGGAAGAUCAAGUGACUUGUUCUUUGUUCCCUUGGAACCACUUUAUGAAUCGGUAUAGUGGACAACAAGUGGAAUAGGGGAAUCAAGAUCAAAGGACAUGUCUUUUACUCUUUUAUUCUUUCAACCAGACAUACUCCUUUAUUUUCUCUUGGCUAGUUGGAUUUCUUUAUAGAUUCUAGUCAGUGGAUUACAAUGUCAAAGUUCAACAUGCAAUGACCAGACAUGCUGAUAAUGUGGUUAUCUUUUGUUUUCUAAGAAUGGCAUUGUGGACGAAGAUAUCAUUGUUUGAAGGGUUUCAGUGAUUAUGAAGCAUUUUUCCUGUUAGAGCUAACUCUUCUGAAGUCAUAAGUUAUUAGAUGAAUGAUCAUAUAUGGAUUUAUUUCAUCUCUAACAUGAUAAGGUUUGGACAAACACAUGUCAAAUUAUACAAUCUUCUGAAAGGCGAUGAUGAUAAAUGAAUAGCGGAACACCCGAGCAAUUAGCUGUUUUGCACCAAGGAUCAUUGCAUUAUUAAAUUUAUCGUAUUGCGGCAUAUAUGUAUGGGGAUAUUCCUUGGAUGAUACACGACUAUAUAUUUUUGGAUAUCAAAAAAGCACCUGGCCGGCUCAUACAACUUGGUUGCGUUAUUUUGCACAAGGAAUCAUGUUCUGCCCCCUGGAAUUUAAAGACUACUGGAUAGAAAUUGCCUGCGAAACUGAUCAAGGUAGAAGGUGUGGAUUCAAGCUCUUCUUUAGGUUGGAGGCACCUCAAACGGUGAGAUAGUUGGUCCCAAGAUUUAACACGGCUGCAUACACAAGGCAGGAUUCGAAUCCCUGACUUUACUUAAGCAUGGAUCAACCCCUUCCGCUAAACCACGCGCUUGGGGUUACUACUGUUUUACUUGUUUUGUACUUAUAUAAUACUAAUAUUUUAGUAUAUAUAUUGUAGAUUAUAAAUGUUUAUUUUUAUAUGAUUAAAAUUAUAAUAAAUAAAUAAAUUUUAAUAUGUUA